CUCAGCGUCAAAAGACGCCACAGUUAUAGGCAGGCUGGAUAAGGCUGGUAGUGGCCACACAACAGCGUCUUUUUCUGCCGACGUCCGACGGGAAGGCGCAUCCUCAAGGUCAGACGCUAGCCGGAUGGGCUGGGGCCCAUUCCCUGCGUCAAAAGACGCUUCUCACAUUGCGUUCCCACGUGAACUAAGUAGUAACUUUGCAGUGUGUCAAGACAAAGUAGUGUGUGUAGUCAAGUGUUUCAUUGCCGUUUUUCCAAUGUGUGAGAUGGAGAAAAUUGAACUUGAUACCGAACGUAUUAUUUCAGAAGUUCAAACUCGACCUUUUUUAUACAUUCGAAAUGCGGAUUAUAAAAACAGACAAAAAAGAAGAGACGGUUGGCUAGGUGUGACAUCUAAUGUUGUUGGUGAAGGUUGGGACAACAUGGACAAAGAAACAAAAGAAGCCUUAGGACAUCUGGGAAUAUGGCUCUCGAUCUAACACGAAGUACGCAAGACGCUGACAACACUGCGCAACUAGAAGGAAACACGGCACCUGAAAUACAACGUACUGCAUCCAAAGCCUCUCCGCUUGCUCGCACAGCGCAAAGGGAGAAAGAAAGUCCAUUUCCGAAGAAACGAAAACAGGAAGAGUUUGAAAAAAAAAGUUGCUGGGCGUUUUGUAAACGAGUUUGCAACAAUCACAUACAAAGGAACCUAGAACUAAUGAUCCAGAUGAAAUCUUCUUACUUUCGCAAAUGCCCCUUAUUAAGAACUUCAUCCGAACUGACAAGAUGGAUUUUCAGUUGAAAUUUUUACAAUUGGUUCAGUCCUACACACAUGCACCGCCGUCCAGAAUUACAUCUGAAAGUGACCAACAAUCAUCUCAGUCCACAAACAGCACACCUACAAUGAUCUUCGAGGAAAAAUCAGAAGAUACAAUCCUGUCCUUUUAUUCACUGUAAAGAAAUAAUACAAUAAGUAAUAAAACUUCACUUACCUCAGAGUAA